UACGUAGGGUGCAAGCGUUGUCCGGAAUUAUUGGGCGUAAAGAGCUCGUAGGCGGUUUGUCGCGUCGAAUGUGAAAACCCGGGGCUCAACCCCGGGCCUGCAUUCGAUACGGGCAGACUAGAGUUCGGUAGGGGAGUCUGGAAUUCCUGGUGUAGCGGUGAAAUGCGUAGAUAUCAAGAGGAACACCUGAGGUGAAGACGGGUUGCUGGGCUGACACUGACGCUGAGGCGCGAAAGCCAGGGGAGCAAACGGG
rnacentral:rRNA from 1 species